GUAACUGCGAGUGAAGCGGGAAAAGCUCAAAUUUAAAAUCUGGCAGAUGUUUGUCUGUCCGAGUUGUAACCUAGAGAAGUGUAACCUGUGCUGGACCAUGUACAAGUCUCCUGGAAUGGAGCAUCAUAGAGGGUGAGAAUCCCGUCUUUGACAUGGACUACCAGUGCACUGUGGUUGCGCACUCAACGAGUCGAGUUGUUUGGGAAUGCAGCUCUAAAUGGGUGGUAAAUUCCAUCUAAAGCUAAAUAUUGGCGAGAGACCGAUAGCGAACAAGUACCGUGAGGGAAAGAUGAAAAGAACUUUGGAAAGAGAGUUAAACAGUAUGUGAAAUUGUUGAAAGGGAAACGCUUGAAGUCAGCUGCAUUGGCUGGGGAUCAAGCCAGCUUAUUUGCUGGGUGUACUUCCUGGUUGAUGGGCCAACAUCAGUUUUGACCAUCAGAGAAAGGCUAAGGGAAUGUGGCACCUU
rnacentral:rRNA from 1 species